rnacentral:rRNA from 1 species
AUUGAACGCUGGCGGCAGGCCUAACACAUGCAAGUCGAGCGGAUGAGGGAAGCUUGCUUCCUGAUUUAGCGGCGGACGGGUGAGUAAUGCCUAGGAAUCUGCCUAUUAGUGGGGGAUAACGUUCCGAAAGGAACGCUAAUACCGCAUACGUCCUACGGGAGAAAGUGGGGGAUCUUCGGACCUCACGCUAAUAGAUGAGCCUAGGUCGGAUUAGCUAGUUGGUGAGGUAACGGCUCACCAAGGCGACGAUCCGUAGCUGGUCUUGAGAGAGGAUGAUCAGCCACACUGGAACUGAGACACGGUCCAGACUCCUACGGGAGGCAGCAGUGGGGAAUAUUGGACAAUGGGCGAAAGCCUGAUCCAGCCAUGCCGCGUGUGUGAAGAAGGUCUUCGGAUUGUAAAGCACUUUAAGUUGGGAGGAAGGGCUGUAAGCUAAUAUCUUGCAGCUUUGACGUUACCAACAGAAUAAGCACCGGCUAACUCUGUGCCAGCCGCCGCAGUAAAAC